rnacentral:rRNA from 1 species
GUCGGGAAUUUUGGGCAAUGGGGGAAACCCUGACCCAGCAACGCCGCGUGAGGGAUGAAGGCCUUCGGGUCGUAAACCUCUGUCGAGAGGGAAGAAUGAUCUCUGGUCGAACAGGCCAGGGGUUUGACGGUACCUCCAAAGGAAGCACCGGCUAACUCCGUGCCAGCAGCCGCGGUAAUACGGAGGGUGCAAGCGUUGUUCGGAAUUACUGGGCGUAAAGCGCGUGUAGGCGGCUUGGCAAGUCGGGUGUGAAAUCCCGGGGCUCAACCCCGGAACUGCAUUCGAAACUGCCUGGCUGGAGUCCCGGAGAGGGUGGUGGAAUUCCCAGUGUAGAGGUGAAAUUCGUAGAUAUUGGGAGGAACACCAGUGGCGAAGGCGGCCACCUGGACGGUGACUGACGCUGAGACGCGAAAGCGUGGGGAGCAAACAGGAUUAGAUACCCGUGUAGUCC